UGAGGAAUAUUGGACAAUGAGCGAGAGCUUGAUCCAGCCAUGCCGCGUGCAGGAAGAAUGCCCUAUGGGUUGUAAACUGCUUUUAUACAGGAAGAAACACCUUUACGUGUAGAGGUUUGACGGUACUGUAUGAAUAAGGACCGGCUAACUCCGUGCCAGCAGCCGCGGUAAUACGGAGGGUCCGAGCGUUAUCCGGAAUCAUUGGGUUUAAAGGGUCCGUAGGCGGGCAGCUAAGUCAGUGGUGAAAGUCUGCAGCUCAACUGUAGAACUGCCAUUGAUACUGGUUGUCUUGAAUCAAUGUGAAGUGGCUAGAAUAUGUGGUGUAGCGGUGAAAUGCUUAGAUAUCACAUGGAAUACCGAUUGCGAAGGCAGGUCACUAACAUUGCAUUGACGCUGAGGGACGAAAGCGUGGGGAGCGAACAG
rnacentral:rRNA from 1 species